UUAGUACAUAAGAACAUGUAUAAUGUUGUCAUUUACUCGAUUGAUGUAUUUGACUUUCAUAUUUUUUUAUUUUUUAUUCAAUUUCUUAUUUCGGGCUGUGUUCAGUUUAAACGUGUAGGUAUAGUAUUUUCUCUAAUCCUAAAUACAAAGUUUACAACAAUUAAUCUACCCAAAAUGAUUAUAAAAUACAAAUAUUAACUUGAACUUAUGUGUGAAAAUGGUUUUUAUUAUAAAAUAAAUUUCAAACAACAUAUGUAAAAAUAAUCAUAAAACUAUAAUAAAAUUAUUUAUUAUUUUAUGGUUUUUAUUAAAUUAAAACAUCAAACAAAGUCCGUUGCAACGGGCUCAUAUCUUGUAUAUCUAUAUAUAUAAAAGAGGGUUUGGAUCCCUCCUAGGCUGUCCAAAUAGGAUUCAAGCUAGGAAAUUCGUGUUUUGAGAGCGUGACACGUGUCAAGGACAUUCAAAACACACCGUUUCAUUUAAACUUCACUGUGAUGGGCUUUAUUCUGGGCCGACUAACAAACAAAAAAGCCUGUUUUCUCUACCCUCUUCUUCAUGAAUUUGAUUCUUAGGAUUCAUCGUCGCUGCGUAAAUUUUUUUGUGUGCCAUCCAUGGCGGUUCUGAAAAGGCGUGUGACUUCCUCUAUAAACGUCAAGUCAGUGCCUGUUUAUGUCGUUUCGGUCUCUCUUCUUAAUCUCUGAACAGUUACAAAUCUAAAAAGCUUGACUCUUCAUGUCCACUACAACCACGAUCGUGCAUUCAAUGAUUCUUAUCCUUCAUCCAGGCGGUGAUUGUAUAAAAAGUACUUCUCACCUCUCCCAGGACCAGAAUGAUUAUCCCUGCCCGAUGGAUCUAAAUCCAUCCCUUAAUGUCGUCGGGUUUGAUUUGAGGACCGGCCGGUGUUCUUCCACGGUGGAGGUGCGGCUGCUCAGAUUUGUCUGGCUUUGAGGUUUUUUGCUGUUGUGGUAUCAAAUAUAAUCUGUUUGGUUCUAAUAUUUUUUUUUUUUGGUAAAAAGUUUGGUUCUAAUAUGGUUUGUAUGUAACUCAGUUUUCAUAUAAUUGCUCUGACAAAAUGUGUCAUGAACUUAUUGUUUUGAGCUACGUUUCUAAUUAUUUUUAGAUCACCGAAGUAAUUACGGAGCAAUGGAUUCAGGCUCAGCAGCUUGAACAGGUCUUUAGUUUUUGCUUUAAAGUUUGUCGUUCAAUGAAAUUGGAUUUUGUGAGUUGUGAUAAGUAGUGUUCAAUGCAAUUGGAUUUUGUGAGUUGUGAUAAGUAGUUCUAACCGUAGUACUCACUCGUUACCAAAGUUGAUCAUUUUGUUUUUCCCUACUGCACCUUGGAGAAUUCAGCGGUCGUACUUAAAGUCUAAAAGCUUUUACUGUAGCUUAAUCAUCUUAUAAGCCUCUCAUUACGUAUAUCUCUAUUUAGCUCAUUAGUGACAUCCAAGGAAAACAUUUGCCCAAAGUUCAAGAAGCAUUUGAUGUUCAUUGGGAUGGAAAGAAAGCUUCUCUCUUUGUGCAAUCAUAUCUCACAUAAGCCCUGUCUCAGUAAAAUAUCUUCUGGGCUACUGUUACUAGACACCACCACCAGUUGCAAGGGUUCAUCAAACAUGAGAUGGGAAGAACCGAGAUCACACAUGGGUAAAAUAUCUUAUAUGUAUUUUUUUUGGAUAAAAUGUAAAUUAUAUUAUCAGAAGUAAAUGUUUGUUACAAGCUAGGUGCAGACAGCUUCGUUGGCAAAAAAAAGGAAGCUAAACGUGAAAAUAAGUACGAGAAACUUGGAUUAGCUAUAAGUUAACCAGACUGCAAGGAGACUGGCACAUCCUUUGUUGAACCUUUGUGAAGGAUGUUCCGGGUGAGCCUGUCAAUGUGAGCAAAGGUAGUACCAUGAGGUUUAGCAACGCAUGAGUGUAACCUGUUUUUCCUCUCUUUCCAGAGAAGAUAAGAAUGUUCCUUGAGUGACCAGUUUUCUUAGUAACAAACAAGAUCACCCUUCUGUUGGAGAGAAGGGAGCCAAGCGGUCAAUUUUCUCUAAAAUUUGUUUAGUUAACAUUAUUGCGUUGAGAAAAUAAGUUAACAUUAUUAAUUCAUAUUAUAUGAAUGAGAUAUUUUAAA